UCAGAAUUAAACUUCAAACUGAGGUAUCUACAGCAGAAAACAAUCACACCAUCACUGAAGUGAACCUGAAGACAGCUCAACUCCACCGUUCUUCACAAACCAACUUACAGUGAA